rnacentral:tRNA from 1 species
GCGGUUCUACGCUCACGACCAGGACUGGACCAUCUGACUACGGAUCAGAAGGUUUGGGGUUCGAAUCCCUACAGGCGCG